rnacentral:rRNA from 1 species
GACGAACGCUGGCGGCGUGCUUAACACAUGCAAGUCGAACGGAAAGGCCCUGCUUUUGUGGGGUGCUCGAGUGGCGAACGGGUGAGUAACACGUGAGUAACCUGCACUUGACUUUGGGAUAACUUCAGGAAACUGGGGAUAAUACCGGAUAGGAGCUCCUGCUGCAUGGUGGGGGUUGGAGAGUUUCGGCGGUUGUGGAUGGACUCGCGGCUUAUCAGCUUGUUGGUGGGGUAGUGGCUUACCAAGGCUUUGACGGGUAGCCGGCCUGAGCGGGUGACCGGCCACAUUGGGACUGAGGUACGGCGCAGACUCCUACGGGAGGCAGCAGUGGGGAAUAUUGCACAAUGGGGGGAAGCCUGAUGCAGCAACGCCGCGUGCGGGAUGACGGCCUUCGGGUUGUAAACCGCUUUCGCCUGUGACGAAGCGUGAGUGACGGUAAUGGGUAAAGAAGCACCGGCUAACUACGUG